AAAGCGCGCGUAGGUGGUUUGUUAAGUUGGAUGUGAAAUCCCCGGGCUCAACCUGGGAACUGCAUUCAAAACUGACUGACUAGAGUAUGGUAGAGGGUGGUGGAAUUUCCUGUGUAGCGGUGAAAUGCGUAGAUAUAGGAAGGAACACCAGUGGCGAAGGCGACCACCUGGACUAAUACUGACACUGAGGUGCGAAAGCGUGGGGAGCAAACAGGAUUAGAUACCCUUAU
rnacentral:rRNA from 1 species